rnacentral:lncRNA from 1 species
UGGAUUUUGGCUCGUUAGCUGCUGACAGGGUUGUUGAAGAUUUAAGCUCCUCCCCUCCUGGAAUAGGGGGAUGGGGGGCAGUAGUUAAAAGGUGGGAAACCAGACGUGACAACGAAACAGAAGUGUCUGUGAAUGCGAUGAAUCUGCAGAAAGGAGACUUUUCCUUAAAGAAAGACGAGAGGACCUUUAAUGAGACAAAACUUCCAAACAACAAGCAGGUCAGAACUCCAGAACAUUCUGCUACAGAACCACUACAGGAGAACAAAAAAUCAACGAGAGUUUCCUCUUAAAACAUGGACGUGAUCCAGUCAGACUUCUAGUUUGAAACUGAACCGAGGAGGAAACAAACGCCUCUGCCUCAGACGCCGUGACGGCUGGGCGGGGACGCCAUCAGAAGUUUGAGCUGUUGUAUGCAGUGUGCGCGCCCCGGCCGCGCCCUCCGAAGCCUUGGUACGUGAAACCCUGCUGGCCCUCCCAGGUCGCCUGCUAGCCCCGCCCUCCGGUCACAGAGCUGGGAUAGGCCGUGCUGAACAUGGAGAAGUCCGUCUGGCCUUCGCCGGGACCUUGGAUCAGCAUCUUCUUCUUCUCGUCGCCGUAGCCGUAACUGUACGGGCUCUGCUGGUCAGCAGGAGGGGGCAUGGACUGGUAGCUUUCUGUCUUUUUGCUGCUGGGGGCUGGGGUGGGCGGGGCAGAGAAGGUGGCGCUGCUCUCGGGGUAAAAGGUGCCGUAGCCGCUGGUGCUGCUGGAAGCAUCCGCGGUCUUCCCUCCAGUGUUAUCGUAGAGUUUAUCUGGAAGAGCAACGAAAUGAGCAACUUUCUGAACCUGUAGACCAGCGGUCCCCGACCCUCCAGCCGCGGUAACUUCUGCUUUGUUUAUAUCCUGAUUCUGAUGUUUCAUUUUGUGAAACUACCAGAUUCUGCACACAACAUCAGUCUGACUCAGUCUCAACACGUCUUCAUAAAGCGUCUGCUCUGAUCUACAUGAAAAGCCUCAAACUAACAAAGUUCAUCAAAAAAUCAACUGUUUUGGAUUUACUGCAACAUUUGUUCCCACACAACAAACCUGCUCUGCAUGAUGUUACGAGGGCAAUACUAAUAAAGUUCCAUUCACUGUCUCUGAUUACAUUUAGACAUUUAAAAAUGAUCCUAAAGCAAAGCUAAACUAGAAAAGUUGCAGUACCAAUGACUUUUGCUGAAAGAAGUUUUUUUAAUUUAAAAUGGUGACAAUUUACUUUAAUUGCUGAAGAGAUUUACUGAAAAUGAUAGUUAUUUCCAAAAUAAUCAUUUGCUAAAAGACUGGAAAUUUAAAGCAACUAUGAAAGAGUGCUGAAGUCGACCUAAAUCUCUAAAUACAUGCUAAAUAUGCAAAAAUUUUAAGGCGUUGCUUAAAUAUGACCUAAACUCCAAAAUAGCCCAAAAUUCCUGAAAAAACUAAAUUAGCCAAAAACUUUCGCCUGCUGCUAAAAUAGAUUCUAAACUCUAAGUUAGGAUAAGAAAAAUACUAGCAUAAAAACCCCAGUAGAUGCAAAAUUAGCAAAAAAAAAAAAAAAAAAAAAAGCUAGCUCUUUGUUCAAAUACUAGCUAGACUUCACAACAGCCUAGAAUUCCUUAGUAAACUAAACUAGUCAAAAACAUUAGUCUGUUGCUAAAUUAAAAGUUAAACUCUAAGAUAGCAUUUAAAAAAAAACAAAAAGAUAACAAAUUCCAGGCUCUUGGACAUAAAGCGGUCGGUGGUCUAAAAAGGUGCAGACCUCAGCUAAACCAUGAACAGCUUAUGGAAGACUUCACGCAGGAACCAAGUAAAAACACCACGGAUUACUUUACAACCUCUCUAUUCUUAAGUAAACUUUAUGAUUCUUCUUGUUAAGAUGCAGGUGUUAAACAGCUCCGGCCCCCCCCCGACACUCACGGUAUCCCGAGCUGGCUCCGCCCUCGUAGCUGUAGUUAGCUUCAAGACAAAAGCAGACACGGGGAGGUGUCGGUGUGUCCUAAAAACUGAGCCGCCUCUACAAACCAAAAGCGCCUCUUACUUUUGUUGUAGCUGGGUCCCGAGUUAAAGGGUUUGCCCCGGCCCCGGCCUCGACCCCCUCUAUUAGGCCCCCAGCCCCGGGACCCCGAGUCUGAGGGAAUGCCCCGGAUGGUGCCGAAUCCCGGGAUGUGCUGUCCGACAUGGAGGAGAGGGUUCACGGGGGCCGAACUCACAGCAGGAGAGAGAGAGGCGCCGUGGUUACCAUGUCAGUGUAGGUGACCUUCUUCUUCAUGGCACCUUUGUAGAAGCUGGAGGCGCCGUCGUUCUCAGGGAACAGCUUCUCCAGAGCGGCCAGCGCGGCGUAGGCCUUGGCCUCCUUCUUGUUGGAGCCCCUCCCUUUGAACUUCUGCCCAUCGACCUCCACCUGAGGAGCAGAGCGCGGCUUUAGCCGGGAUUCUGUCUCCAGCCAGAGAGGGAAGCUUCAAUCUGAUGUCUGGGCUUUGAAAACGUGUUUUAAUCGCACACAUAC